UGAUCGGCUGUGCGGGGAGCUCUGAUCAAUGGGAGAGACUUAAAAGGAGGUCAGUCGAGUGAGCUGUCAGCGGGUAACGGGGCCCCGGGGUGGGAGUUCAGAGUCAUGCAUCAGCCUGAAUGGACCGGGAGCCAGGGACCGGGAGCCCUGACAGCAGCGAUGGGCGCGAGAGGGAUGUCAAGGACCAAUGCCUUGGGAGGCUUUAGUGUGCAACCCACCGUGGACCUGACUCUUCCGAGGGCUUCCUCCUGAGAGCCGUUUCCGGGGAGACACGUCCAGGGUGGGCACAGUCUUUGUCCUUCUUCUGUUUUUCCCCCUUUUUCUUUGAAACAAGGGAAGUUUUGCAGCAGGAUUAGCCGUCCUUUCCGAUGUGUCUGGGAGCAGGUUGUCUGGAGGCAGCCGGGAAGCCUCCUGUUGCCCAGGUAACAGCACGGGGAGCUGGGAAGGGGCAGCAUUCAGAAGGAACAGCGGCAGGGAGUCCUCUGGCCUGAGGAAAGGGCAUGUGGCGUCCUGUCACCCAGAAGCGGUGCCUUUCUCUCCCUCAUCCCAGCGCGCCAACCACCCGACCCCUGACCAGCAGUCCCAGAAUCGAGCUGGACCCUCGGGCCAGGUGCAAAUACGCUCUCCUCUCAGGGGCCUGGCAGCUCCUCUGGGAUAACUCACUCGGUACAUUUUUGCGGAGCACCUACUGCAGCGCUGCUGCCCUGGGGGCUGGGCUGUCACAGGUAAACAACCCCAGCAAAACCCCUGUGGUUGCCCAGCUCCAUGGAAAGGGCUGAAGUCUCACAUGGAGGCCAUGCUGGGGCCCCUAACCCUGGACCCUACCCCUGGCCGGAGGCUGCCACUCAGCCGGUGCCUGAACAGGUGCCCCCACCGGCGAUGGCACACCUGCCCCAGCCUGGACCAUCGGUGGACACUGGUGCCGAUUCUUCAGCUCACUCCCUGGUGUGAACUAUAGAAAGCCUCUGUGGAAUAUUCUGGAACCCUCGCUGCUCUAGGGGGUGGCUUUUAUUGAGAAUGCCUUUUCUUUUUUCAUCCCCCCCCCCCAUGAUUUCAUGAGCAUUUUAACAAGAAACGGGAUGUCCCUAGUAUCCCCCACCCUUGUCACUUGGAUGUGCUCGUGCAAACACCCAGGUCUCAGUAAGUUAAGGUGGCCCACUCCGCAGCAUGUGUGCUUCUAAUGGCAUUUUUGGCUGCAUCGUGCACUCGGCCUUUUCUGUGUAAGAGGAGCUCCUCCGAGACGCCGCCAACCCCAUCUCAUUGGAAGCUGAUGAGGAAACGCAAUAUGCCGCGUCCUCCUGCCCGGGGAGCGCGCCAGCCCGCAGCUUCUGCCCGCAGCUUCUGCGCGGCCUGCAAACGCGCCGCCCGCCCCGUCCUGCGCCGAUGCUCCGAGUGGUCUCUGGGCGCCGCCGUCUGCCAGGAUGCUCAUGACAUCACUCAUAUUAUUAAUAAUUACAGGUUACCCACAGAUGGGCGGGCAGAUGGACACACGCGGCGGAGGCCUGUUUAAUCUCGGCCGGGCUAUUUCCCCGGCCCGGCUCCCCGUGCCACGCUCGCCGCCUCCCCGGAGGAAACAUUAAUGAAACAACAAAAUGUCCAUGAAAGAAACAUGAAAAGCCUGUCGGAGGGGCGGUGGUGUUCUGCACCGCACGUCCCUCCAGGAGGGAAAGAUGGCCUGACCGCCUGCCUUUCUCGGCGUGGCCUGUGCCGCGUGCUCCUUUGCGAGCCUUAGAGCUGCAGGCGCUCCAAGGAAAGACCUGGCCCGGAGCUCCUCCGACCCGCGGGCUGCCCGGGCUUGGUCUGUGUUCCAGCCUCACAGAGGGGAGGCGUGGAGCUGGUCUCCGUGUGUGUGUGUGUGUGUGUGUGU